rnacentral:tRNA from 1 species
UUACUAAUAGGUUAUUUUAAACUAAUAGAUUGUGGUUCUGUUGAAUGCUUGUUGUGUUAGUAAU